CACACACAAACUCAUCCCAUGGAGAGAGGAAAAACACGGAUCCCAUGGGGGCGCAUUAAGCCCUCUCUAUAAGAAAGCAUUGCUGUAAUGUUGUCUUGUAGGGAUUUUGCUGACGCUGGAUGUCUUCGUGCAGAGCAUGAGUGUAAAAGAUCCUGUUAUCCCUGUAGGACCGAUCCUUACAGCUUCUCCCGAAAUCCCAGCAGAACAAUAGCGAAGGAGUGAUUAUAGCUCCUAAUUCCCCAAGCAUGAGUCGAGACUUCAUGAAGGGGUAAAACGAUCUGCUUUAAUGCUGGCCACACGCGGCCUUUUAUGAUGGUCUCCCAGCAAGGAAACUCCCACAGAGGACCUUGUGGAAAACUGUGACACAAAAUACAGAGACAAUCAGUUUACAGUACAAUUAUUAAACACACCCACAGUAACAGUGCAACC